rnacentral:rRNA from 1 species
GAUGAACGCUGGCGGCGCGCCUAACACAUGCAAGUCGAACGAUUAAAGCACCUUCGGGUGUGUAUAAAGUGGCGAACGGCUGAGUAACACGUAGGCAACCUGCCCCUUUCAUUGGGAUAGCCACGGGAAACCGUGGAUAAUACCGAAUACUUCGAGACUUCCGCAUGGAAGACCCGAAAAAGCUCCGGCGGUGAGGGAUGGGCACGCGGGCUGUUAGCUUGUUGGUGGGGGAACGGCAGACCAAGGCAAUGCUGGGUAGCGGGGUUGAGAGACCGACCAGCCAGAUUGGGACUGAGACACGGCCCAGACGCCUACGGGAGGCAGCAGUGGGGAAUCUGGCACAAUGGGCGAAAGCCUGAGGCAGCGACGCCGCGUGCGGGAUGAAGGCCUUCGGGUGGUAAACCGCUUUCAGCAGGGACGAGGCGAAAGUGACGGUACCUGCAGAAGAAGCCCCGGCUAACUACGUG